rnacentral:rRNA from 1 species
UACGUAGGUGGCAAGCGUUGUCCGGAUUUAUUGGGCUUAAAGGGUGCGUAGGCGGCCCUCUAAGUCCGUGGUGAAAUCUCCCGGCUUAACCGGGAGGGGGGCAUUGAUACUGUAGGGCUUGAGUCGAGUUGAGGUUGGCGGAAUUGACGGUGUAGCGGUGAAAUGCUUAGAUAUCGGCAAGAACACCGAUAGUGAAGACAGCUAACUAAGCUCAAACUGACGCUGAGGCGCGAAAGUGUGGGGAGCAAACAGG